GGCGGCGGACGGGUGAGUAACGCGUGGGAACGUGCCCUUCUCUGCGGAAUAGCCUCGGGAAACUGAGAGUAAUACCGCAUACGCCCUUCGGGGGAAAGAUUUAUCGGAGAAGGAUCGGCCCGCGUUGGAUUAGGUAGUUGGUGGGGUAAUGGCCUACCAAGCCGACGAUCCAUAGCUGGUUUGAGAGGAUGAUCAGCCACACUGGGACUGAGACACGGCCCAGACUCCUACGGGAGGCAGCAGUGGGGAAUCUUAGACAAUGGGGGAAACCCUGAUCUAGCCAUGCCGCGUGAGUGACGAAGGCCCUAGGGUCGUAAAGCUCUUUCAGCUGUGAAGAUAAUGACGGUAGCAGCAGAAGAAACCCCGGCUAACUCCGUGCCAGCAGCCGCGGUAAUACGGAGGGGGUUAGCGUUGUUCGGAAUUACUGGGCGUAAAGCGCGCGUAGGCGGACUAUUAAGUCAGGGGUGAAAUCCCGGGGCUCAACCCCGGAACUGCCCUUGAUACUGGUAGUCUCGAGUUCGAGAGAGGUGAGUGGAAUUCCGAGUGUAGAGGUGAAAUUCGUAGAUAUUCNGANGAACACCAGUGGCGAANGCGGNUCACUGNCUCGAUACUGACGCUGAGGUGCGAAAGCGUGGGNAG
rnacentral:rRNA from 1 species